AUGGCACAUGUUUCUUCAGAAAUUCAAGAUGUUUCUCCCAAAGAUUAGUUAACUGGUUCAGAAGCCUCCAGUAGGUCUCCGUUGGAUGGCACAUGUUUCUUCAGAAAUUCAAGAUGUUUCUCCCAAAGAUUAGUUAACUGGUUCAGAAGCCUCCAGUAGGUCUCCGUUGCGACAGAAUUUUCAAAGAUCUGCCUUUCUAGCCACCUUUCUGGCAGAAGAGAAAGAAUCCGAUGCCUUAAGCAAAUUAAAGUUUUAUUAUAAUCCAAAUUUCAAACGUGGCUGUCCCCAGCAUUUAGUAAGGGUGAAAAGAAGAAUUGGUGUUAAAAAUGCUUCACUUAUACCUACUUUAUUCAAUGAAGAUUUCAACAAGAAGCAUUUUAGAUCAGGAGCUAACAUUAACAGU
rnacentral:lncRNA from 1 species